GACGAACGCUGGCGGCGUGCCUAAUACAUGCAAGUCGAGCGCAGGAAGCUGACGGAACUCUUCGGAGGGAAGGCAGUGGAAUGAGCGGCGGACGGGUGAGUAACACGUAAGGAACCUGCCUCAAGGAUUGGGAUAACUCCGAGAAAUCGGAGCUAAUACCGGAUAGUUCAUCGGACCGCAUGGUCCGUUGAUGAAAGGCGCUUCGGCGUCACCUUGAGAUGGCCUUGCGGUGCAUUAGCUAGUUGGUGGGGUAACGGCCCACCAAGGCGACGAUGCAUAGCCGACCUGAGAGGGUGAUCGGCCACACUGGGACUGAGACACGGCCCAGACUCCUGCGGGAGGCAGCAGUAGGGAAUCUUCCACAAUGGACGAAAGUCUGAUGGAGCAACGCCGCGUGAGUGAUGAAGGUUUUCGGAUCGUAAAACUCUGUUGUAAGGGAAGAACACGUACGAGAGGGAAUGCUCGUACCUUGACGGUACCUUACGAGAAAGCCACGGCUAACUACGUGCCAGCCGCCGCGGUAACAC
rnacentral:rRNA from 1 species